GCUUACGGCCAUACCGCCCUGAAUGCGCCCGAUCUCGGAAGCCUAGCAGGGUCGGGCCUGGUUAGUACUUGGAUGGGAGACCGCCUGGGAAUACCAGGUGCUGUAAGCU
ensembl:rRNA 5S_rRNA 5S ribosomal RNA